rnacentral:misc_RNA from 1 species
ACUGACGAAGGCGAUUAUCAGGUAAAACUACGCAACCUGACUCGCUUUCUGGAGGGAGGUGACAAAACUAAAGUCACUAUUCGUUUCCGUGGCCGGGAAAUGGCACAUCAAGAGUUGGGUAUUGAAUUGCUAGAGCGCAUUAAAACCGAUCUAGAAGAAAUCUCAACUUGCGAAUCGUUCCCAAGACGUGCUGAGGGUCGCCAGAUGAUUAUGGUUCUGGCCCCUGCUAAGAAGUAACUGUGGUUUGCAAGUAGGGCGGCUGUUGGCAACAACACCAAACUCACCCUGUUACACUUUUAUUAACAAUGCGGAGUAAUUUUCAUGCCGA